GGAGCACCUGACCACUCCUCCCUUCUGCCGGCUCUCUGGGCGGGCCCGGGCCGGGGGCGGGCGCGGCGGCGGCGGAGGCGGCGGCGCUGAGGCACGACAGCUGCCGCGCGGCUUAAGACUAGGGCGGUGGCUCUGUUGGUCUGUCGGCUUUCGUCCUACGUAGCAGGGCGCGCGCGGCCGCGAUGAGCUGGAACCUGCUGCUCUGGCUGCUGGCGCUGUGCGCGCUGCUCGCUCUCGUGGUGCAGCUGCUACGCUUCCUGCGGGCCGACGGCGACCUGACCCUGCUGUGGGCCGAGUGGCAGGGGCGACGCCCAGAAUGGGAGCUGACUGAUAUGGUGGUGUGGGUGACUGGAGCAUCAAGUGGGAUUGGUGAAGAGCUGGCUUACCAGCUGUCCAAACUAGGAGUUUCUCUUGUGCUGUCAUCCAGAAGAGUGCAUGAGCUGGAAAGGGUGAAAAGAAGAUGCCUUGAGAACGGCAAUUUGAAAGGAAAAGAUAUACUCAUUUUGCCCCUUGACCUGACUAACAGAAGUUCCCAUGAAAUGGCUACCAAAGCGGUUCUCCAGGAGUUUGGCAAAAUUGACAUUCUGGUCAACAAUGGUGGAGUAUCCCAGCGUUCUUUGUGUGUGGACACCAGCCUGGACGUCUACAAGGAGCUAAUAGAGGUUAACUACUUAGGGACGGUGUCCUUGACAAAGUGUGUUCUGCCUCACAUGAUUGAGAGGAAGCAAGGAAAAAUUGUUACUGUGACUAGCCUCCUGGGUGUUAUAUCUGCACCCCUUUCUGCUGGAUAUUGUGCCAGCAAACAUGCUCUUCAGGGGUUUUUUAAUACCCUCCGAAUUGAACUUGCUACAUACCCAGGUAUAAUAGUUUCUAACAUUUGCCCAGGACCUGUGCAAUCAAAUAUUGUGAAGAAUGCCCUAACUGAAGAAGUCACCAAGACUACAGGCAGCAAUGCAGAUCAGUCCCACAAGAUGGCAGCCAGUCGUUGUGUGCAGCUGAUGUUAAUCAGCAUGGCCAAUGAUUUGAAGGAAGUUUGGAUCGCAGAUCAGCCUUUUUUGUUAAUGGCAUAUUUGUGGCAGUAUAUGCCAACCUGGGCCUGGUGGAUAACCGACAAAUUAGGGAAGAAAAGGAUUGAGAACUUUAAGAAUGGUGUGGACUUGGUGUACCUCAGCCCUGUGCCUACCUCCGUCAAAGCACUUCCACACUAUUAAAAGAGAUGCACUCUUACACGUAGUGCUGGUUCCUUUGACUUUGUUCCAGAAGCACUUUGCACAUCUGAGAUGUGUCUAGGAAAAUAUGCUGAUCGCUCAUUCUUUCAGCACUCAUUCUUCCAGAAAAGAUGCAGAUUCCUCUUAUUUUAAAAUCUGGAAGACAAAAUAUCAGUGAAGGAGUACUUGCAUUUUUCAAGCCAAUGGAAAGAGAAACGGAAAACGUAACAACAGCAAUUUUCUUAUGCACUGAAGACUUAUUUGUGAUUUUACUUCUUAAUAGAUACAACUUUCCUUUCAAUGUGUAAUAAAUAAGAUUGCCAGGAGUCUUGCAAUAAGGGUAUUAAUACAUACUACAUUCCUGGAUUAAAGAGCAUUUUAACAUACUCUAGCAUGUAUGCUUAAAAUCUAGGUUAGCAGAAUGCCAACCAAAGAAUUACAGUAAUCCAUUUAGCAUAAAUGCAUGGAAUAUUACGUGAAGCAGAGUGCUGGGGAAUGGGCAGAUAUAAAGAAGUGUCUGAAAUGGCAUGCUUCCAAGGUGCUUACACUCUCUUGGAAGAGUUGACAGGUACAAAUGACUGGAAUUUGAAGCUGUAGGUAGGACUCAUAGCAGCCAUAAUUUAUUAAAAAUCUAUUAUAUGUCA